AUAAACUUUUGGCCCAUUCCAACACCCCGUCGUCUGAGAAGCUUUCUUCUCAGUCCAUCCAUCCAUCCAUCCAUGGCGGAAGGCAGCACAAGCGGAUUAUCAGAGCUCCCACAACACAUUAUCCAUCACAUCCUCUCUUACCUCUCAGCAGAAGAAUCAACAAAAACGAGCUUAAUAUCGAAAUCAUGGUUAAGCGCGUGUCAAACCAGCCCAAAAUUGGAAUUCAAUCCUCACGUCUACUUCUCCAGGAAACUCAAUCCAGCUCGCUUCUGGGAUUGGAGCAAAGAAAAGAGAAGGGAGAAAUACGAGGAGUUCUUCCAACACGUGAAGAAAGCCCUGAAGCCGUAUAGCAAACAGGGGUUACGCAUAAACACGGUUAAUUUCACGCUUGAAGCGACUCGCGAUUCUCAGUGGAAUCCACUCCUUGAGAAAUGCACAAAAAUAGCAGUAAAAAAUGGGGUACGGAAUCUUGAUUUUUUUAUCCCGGAAUGUGAUUUGCCAGCAAUUGUAUUUAGAGCUAAAUCACUUGUUGAUUUAAGUGUUAGAGAGGGUAAUAUUAAGCGAAUGUCAGUUGGGGAAAUUAUAUGUCCUGGGCUUAGAAAACUGUGCCUUAAAUGGGUGAGUUUGGACGUGGAGAUGUUUAAUAAUAUAAUUGAAAGCUGCUCUUUUAUUGAGGUAUUGGAAGUUUGGUAUAUCCAGGUGUUUGAUGAUUUUAAGGUGACUAAGUUGAACAACCUUAAGGAACUUACAGUUCGGUUAUUCGAAAAUCAGUGGGUUAAAGUUGAAGCACCAAAGCUUGAGUUGCUAACUUGCACAGAUGAUGAGAAUUGGUUUGAGGGUGAGGAUGGGGAUGAGGAAGACAGAUUGACUUGUGGGAUUAGAUUCCCUGCCUCGCACUAUCAGAAUCUCAAGUCUUUACUGUUUAGUGGGAUUGGGAUAGAUGACACUUUCUUUAUGGAUUUGGCGUGUAAGUUCCCCAACCUUGAAGAUUUAAUGGUCAGAUAUUGCCAAGAGCUAGAAAGUAUCAAGAUUUCGAGUCAGUCCCUGAAAAGAAUAGAGUUGAUGGACAAUAAAAAAUUGGUAGAAGCACAGUUUGAAGUUCCCAAGAUUCUAGCCUUCGAAUAUUCUAAUGUAUGCGACAUCAUACCCCGAUUUCUUUUUGCGACUGCCUCAAGUUGUUGGACUUCUUCCAUUUGUUUAUGGUGCAGGGAACAUGUAGAUGUUUCAUGGUUUGUCAAAUUGAAAGAAUUAUUAGCAAGUUUAUUUCAGUCUGAAGUUUCACUUGACAUUGACUUUAUAUGCAGCGUAGCCUUUGAUCUGAAUGAGAUUAGGGAUAUUGUCAAAAUUCGUGAACCUCAAGAGGUGCAGAAGUUGACUAUACAUUUUGACUGGAUGUUCUCUUUAGAGAAGGGAUUUUCAGCUCUCGAUGGUCUUUUCUGGGUUUGUCGCCCUAAAUAUGUAAACACAGAGUGGCAUGAUAGCUUAGAGAAGAAUGACGCGGUGAAGUUUCUAUACGAGACACUGAUGUUCAGAAGAACUCAGGAUCAGUUUCAGUAUUCGUUGCAAAGUAAGUUCUGGCGGCAUGAUUUGAAGGAAGUAAACAUUGAGGUCCUUGAUAGAUCUAUAUGCAUGAUAGGGGAUAGAGUCAACUUUACGACAAAGGGGAAAAAUGAGCAUCAGCAAGAAGAUUUGGACUGGGAGAACAUUCUGAAUUUGUUAAGGAAUGAUGGAAGCUUUGGAACGAUGGUCUACUUCAAGUUACAGUGGUAAGACAUGAUAUGCCCUAGGAAGUUAAAAGAUUGAAUCUGUAGAAAUCGAAGUUGGAAUAAUGGCAGAAAGUUAUGUUAUAGUAAUAUUCUGUUAGUAUGGUAAUUUACUUGGGGGGCAUCAAUUUUGAGUUGAUCUGGUUAUUUCAUAGUGCAGCUCGACAUGCUUCUUUUGAUUCAGGUCGCGUGUCAUGGAGAAGGAUGGAGGAAAUUUCGAGACUUGAAGCUGUUAGAAGAAUUUGCAGUAAAUCUGUUAUUUAUAAUCAUACUUAUAUUUGGAUGUCUAGGAAGUUGAGCAAAUGGUAUCUAGUAUUUGUCUCUUUAACUAGUCCUUGGUAACAUUGGAUUAUAAUGAUCUGGAGCUUUUGAUUCAUUUACAAGUCUGUUUAAGUAGCUGGAUGUUUGAACCACAAUAUGUUUGCUUUGAUCAAUUACUAAU